UACGAAGGGGGCUAGCGUUGCUCGGAAUCACUGGGCGUAAAGCGCACGUAGGCGGAUUGCUAAGUCAGGGGUGAAAUCCUGGAGCUCAACUCCAGAACUGCCUUUGAUACUGUCGAUCUAGAGUAUGGAAGAGGUGAGUGGAAUUCCGAGUGUAGAGGUGAAAUUCGUAGAUAUUCGGAGGAACACCAGUGGCGAAGGCGGCUCACUGGUCCAUUACUGACGCUGAGGUGCGAAAGCGUGGGGAGCAAACAGG
rnacentral:rRNA from 1 species